GACUAUUGGCGAUGGAUAUCUUGGCUCUCGCGUCGAUGGAGAACAUAGCGAUUAGCGUGUGAUACUUAAUGUGAAUUGCAAAAUCUCGUGAACAACUGAGUCUUUGAGUGCAAGUUGUGCCUGAAACCACUAUGCCGAUGGCGCGACUGCCUGGGCGUCG
rnacentral:rRNA from 1 species